rnacentral:rRNA from 1 species
AGAGUUUGAUCCUGGCUCAGGACGAACGCUGGCGGCGUGCUUAACACAUGCAAGUCGAACGGAAAGGCCCUGCUUUUGUGGGGUGCUCGAGUGGCGAACGGGUGAGUAACACGUGAGUAACCUGCCCUUGACUUUGGGAUAACUUCAGGAAACUGGGGCUAAUACCGGAUAGGAGCUCCUGCUGCAUGGUGGGGGUUGGAAAGUUUCGGCGGUUGGGGAUGGACUCGCGGCUUAUCAGCUUGUUGGUGGGGUAGUGGCUUACCAAGGCUUUGACGGGUAGCCGGCCUGAGAGGGUGACCGGCCACAUUGGGACUGAGAUACGGCCCAGACUCCUACGGGAGGCAGCAGUGGGGAAUAUUGCACAAUGGGCGGAAGCCUGAUGCAGCAACGCCGCGUGCGGGAUGACGGCCUUCGGGUUGUAAACCGCUUUCGCCUGUGACGAAGCGUGAGUGACGGUAAUGGGUAAAGAAGCACCCGCUAACUACGUGCCAGCAGCCGCGGUGAUACGUAGGGUGCCAACGUUGUCCGGAUUUAUUGGGCGUAAAGGGCUCGUAGGUGGUUGAUCGCGUCGGAAGUGUAAUCUUGGGGCUUAACCCUGAGCGUGCUUUCGAUACGGGUUGACUUGAGGAAGGUAGGGGAGAAUGGAAUUCCUGGUGGAGCGGUGGAAUGCGCAGAUAUCAGGAGGAACACCAGUGGCGAAGGCGGUUCUCUGGGCCUUUCCUGACGCUGAGGAGCGAAAGCGUGGGGAGCGAACAGGCUUAGAUACCCUGGUAGUCCACGCUGUAAACGGUGGGUACUAGGUGUGGGGUCCAUUCCACGGGUUCCGUGCCGUAGCUAACGCUUUAAGUACCCCGCCUGGGGAGUACGGCCGCAAGGCUAAAACUCAAAGGAAUUGACGGGGCCCCGCACAAGCGGCGGAGCAUGCGGAUUAAUUCGAUGCAACGCGUAGAACCUUACCUGGGUUUGACAUGGAUCGGGAGUGCUCAGAGAUGGGUGUGCCUCUUUUGGGGUCGGUUCACAGGUGGUGCAUGGCUGUCGUCAGCUCGUGUCGUGAGAUGUUGGGUUAAGUCCCGCAACGAGCGCAACCCUUGUUCUCUGUUGCCAGCACGUUAUGGUGGGGACUCAGUGGAGACCGCCGGGGUCAACUCGGAGGAAGGUGGGGAUGACGU